rnacentral:rRNA from 1 species
AACAAGGUUUCUGUAGGUGAACCUGCAGAAGGAUCAUUAGUGAAGAUUUGGGCAGACCAUACGGACGCCAAAAAGUGUCCCUGGCCGCCUACACCCACUAUACAUCCACAAACCCGUGUGCACUGUCUUGGAGAAAGGCUUCAGAGAAGUUUUUUGUGGCCUCUCUUGGGGUCUUUCUUCGCUACAAACUCGAAUGGUUAGUAUGAACGUGGAACUUGGUUGGACCGUCACUGGCCAACAAACUAUACACAACUUUCGACAACGGAUCUCUUGGUUCUCCCAUCGAUGAAGAACGCAGCGAAACGCGAUAGGUAAUGUGAAUUGCAGAAUUCCGUGAAUCAUCGAAUCUUUGAACGCACCUUGCGCUCUAUGGCAAUCCGUAGAGCAUGCCUGUUUGAGUGCCAUGAAAUCUCCCACCCCAAGCGGUUUUUAAAUGAAACGGCUUGGCGGAUGGGGUCUGGAUGGGUGCCUCUGCCUGCGCUACCUAGCACAGGCUCGCCCGAAAUGCAUGAGCGCCUUGAGACACUUUGCAUCCGCCUCUCUGUUUGGGAGGAGGCGGCCAAGCAGUGUUUUUCUCCUGGCAUGGCAUGAUACGUCAUUUGCUAUGUCGCCUAAAGGAGGAAUGUUUGGUUGUGUCUGCGUGUGCUUCGAACUUGCCUCUGUGGCACAUCCCAAUUUCACUUCUGGUCUCAAAUCAGGUAGGAUCACCCGCUGAACUUAAGCAUAUCAAUA